rnacentral:rRNA from 1 species
GACAAAUAGAAAAAUUCUUUUUAUAAUAAAAUUUAAAAAAUAAAUUUAAUUAUAAUUAUUAAAAAUUAAGGUGAAAUUUUUUUUUAAUUGAAUUUUGUAUAAAAUUAAAAUUCUUAUAAUAAACUAGGAUUAGAUACCCUAUUAUUUUAGAGCUUUACAUUGUAAGUAAAUAUUAAUUACGAAAGCAAAAAAUUAUGGCGGUAUUUUAAGCUUUUCAGAGGAAUUUGCUCUUUAAUGGAUAAAACACCUAAAUCUUACUUAAAUUUGUUAAGUCAAUUUGUAUACCACUAUUAAAUUAAUUAUUAAUUUUAAUUUAUAAAAUUUAUUUAAAUUUAAAAAAAAUUAAGUCAAGGUGCAGUAAAAAUUUAAGAAUGAAGUGAAUUACAAUUCUUUUAAGAGAUUAUUUAAAUUAAAAUUUUAAUUUAGGAUUUGAAAGUAAAAUUAAAAUAGAAUGUUAAUUUGAAUUAAGCUCUAAAAUAU